GGGCCCAGAAGGCCUCACGCGAAGCGUUCAGCCCGCACUCGUUGCUGCUGGAGCAGCCGCCUGCGCUUCUCGCAGUAUUGCCAGGCUGCCUUCAGUGGCACGCAGCGAGCCUCCAGCUGUGGGCCCUCUGCGCAGCGCAGGGCGCAGUUUGCACCUGGGGAUGGGCCCGGGAAAGAGUCCUGUGAGGGAGGUAUCAGCAGGAGGAUAAACAGGAUCUUCCAGGAGGGGACGGAGCGUCUCGGUACAAGCAAGGCGCCCGAGUCCUGCUCACUGCAGAGGAAUAUGCUCCCCCCUGGCAGGGCCCGUAGGUGCCUAUGAGAAAGGACACUUCCAGACAGAGGUCGGGCUGGUCCUGGGCCCCUGCUUUGCUCGGUCGCAGCAGGCAGUAACUGGUAGCUGCUCCCCAACGUUGGAGGCUGGAACGUGUCGUGGCACCUCAGCUGAGGCGAGAUCACCGCGUGGCUCCUUGGCCAGGAGCGCUGUGCUUACGAAGGCUUUGGCUUCCCUGCCUGUGGUUUCAGUGAGGAGCAGAGGCCCGCCUGGUGCUCCUUUACAUCAGUGUUAAUCAGGAGUGACUGGCCAAAAGGCUGGAGCCGCCCCGAGAUGACUCAACAAGGGGAACCCUAGCUGGGAGCAGGGCAGUUCCCCUGAUGCCUCCAUCCGCUUCCUGCAGCCCACCCUGUGCGAACUGAAGCUGCGCAUGGAAAUGUCACCCUGCUAACCUGAAUGUCUCCUCUUGUUGGUGCAGAAUAUUUCAGGCUGCAGGCCAUGGCAGGGGGAUGGAGGGCAGUGGGGUGCUCUGCCUCUCUGCUUUUGGCCAGAGGGUACACCCACAUGGCAUGAGGAUAUGCUGAAAGGCAGAGCAAGGCUGUGGGUUUGCUCUGGAUCCUCUGAGCAACCUUGGAAAUGUCUUGAUCGCAGCAGAAGCAACCAGAGUUGGGCCAGAGCCUCACUGACUUGAUAUUGCUCAGGCACUGAGAGCUGUCAGGACACUUGACUUGAGGACACAAGCCAUGCUUGGUGGGUACAGAGGGGAAAGAGACAGGUUUGCUACUAUAAAUAAGCUAAACAAACAUCUCUCUCAAUAGUAGAUACCCAUCUGGUAACUGUGCCACAACACAUGUGGUCUUGCCCCACCCAUCCUUCAGCUUCUUCAGUCGUCUCCUGAGCCCUCCAUAUGACUGGUUGGGAAACACACCACCCAGAAUCAGGACUGAUGAGUUCCUAUCUCCUUCAGACACAGCAGCACCUGAAAGAAUGCCUGCAGCUCACUUCAGCGUGGCAGAAGGCCUGUUUUCAAUGUAUUUGCCCAGCAGAGAAAGGGAGAACCAUCCCCUAGCAAAGAGUGACAGGCAGCCAAGAAAGAGAUGGAGGAGACAGUGGAGAAAAAAGAUGAGGUGCAAGGGUAGGACAUUGAAGCAGCAGUGUUUAGCUGCUUUGGUUUAGCUUUGGUCUCAUGCAUUUAUCCCCUGGAUACCCUUCAAGUCUCCCUCCCUAGUUAUAGAUGGCCAAAUCUCUUUUAAAACCCAGUUUUCCUGUAGCCUCCUGCCCUGCCAGUGGCAGGACUGAGCCUCCCAAAGGUGCUCAAAGUGGUUUUGAAUGAUGAAGUUCUGAGGUCCCAGGGCACUGGCGCACCUCAUGGGACACAGCUCCACGGGUCCCAUCAAGAAACCCAGGCAGGAAGUUGCUCUGCACAUACCAAGCUUGUGGGGAGCAGGAAUGAGGGACAGAGGCAGAGUGCACAGCACAAGGGAUUGAGGCACACAGGUGGGGCAGUGAGUUCAAGCCCCAUCUGAAGCCCUCGGGGAGGUGUAAAAGGCACCUGCAAGGCAGGCAGUGACUAACAGGGUUAGGGGGAUAUAGGACUUCACAGUCCUCCAUCGUUGCCACCCAGUCCCCAUCCUGACACUCAUGAGACGGGAUUGGAACAGCCCCCACAGGAACCACUUUGAGGCUGCAGGCACACCACGAGCAAGCAGGAGGUGAUGCUGCAGUGGAGACCGCAGGGCCGAGGGGACAGUGGGCACGUCCUAGCAGCUCAGCGAAGGCGAGUGGGGGCUGCUGCUGGCCCUGCUGCCGGCUGGCAGGCGGGGCAGCGGCUGAGCGCCUCACUUAUCAGCAUUAGCUCAUGUGAAAGCCCUGGGCCUUUGUAUCUCAGGCAAACACCGGCCAUUAUACCUCAGCAGGCCAGCAUUGUUAU